AUGCCUUAGUAGCGGCGAGUGAGCGGCAAAAGCUCAAAUUUGAAAUCUGGCGCCUUCGGUGUCCGAGUUGUAAUUUGAAGAUUGUAACCUUGGGGUUGGCUCUUGUCUAUGUUUCUUGGAACAGGACGUCACAGAGGGUGAGAAUCCCGUGCGAUGAGAUGCCCAAUUCUAUGUAAGGUGCUUUCGAAGAGUCGAGUUGUUUGGGAAUGCAGCUCUAAGUGGGUGGUAAAUUCCAUCUAAAGCUAAAUAUUGGCGAGAGACCGAUAGCGAACAAGUACAGUGAUGGAAAGAUGAAAAGAACUUUGAAAAGAGAGUGAAAAAGUACGUGAAAUUGUUGAAAGGGAAGGGUUUGAGAUCAGACUCGAUAUUUUGUGAGCCUUGCCUUCGUGGCGGGGUGACCCGCAGCUUAUCGGGCCAGCAUCGGUUUGGGCGGUAGGAUAAUGGCGUAGGAAUGUGACUUUACUUCGGUGAAGUGUUAUAGCCUGCGUUGAUGCUGCCUGCCUAGACCGAGGACUGCGAUUUUAUCAAGGAUGCUGGCAUAAUGAUCCCAAACCGCCCGUCUUGAA
rnacentral:rRNA from 1 species